rnacentral:rRNA from 1 species
CCUACGGGUGGCUGCAGUCGAGAAUCUUUCACAAUGGGGGAAACCCUGAUGGAGCGACGCCGCGUGGGGGAAUGAAGGUCUUCGGAUUUUAAACCCCUGUCAUGUUGGAGCAAAUUAAAAAGAUAGUCCCACAAGAGGAAGAGACGGCUAACUCCGUGCCAGCAGCCGAGGUAAUACAGAGGUCUCCAGCGUUGUUCGGAAUCACUGGGCGUAAAGCGUGCGUAGGCUGUUUAGUCAGUCGUGUGUGAAAGGCGCGGGCUCAACCCGCGGACGGCAUAUGAUACUGGGAGACUAGAGUAAUGGAGAGGGAAUCGGAAUUCUCGGUGUAGCAGUGAAAUGCGUAGAUAUCGGGAGGAACACUCGUGGCGAAGGCGGGUGCCUGGACAUGAACUGACGCUGAGGCACGAAGGCCAGGGGAGCGAAAGGGAUUAGAUACCCGUGUAGUC